rnacentral:rRNA from 1 species
GGGUGAGGAACACGUGAGCAAUUUACCUUAAAGCUGAACAUAGCACCGUGAAAACGGUGGUAAUAUUCAAUGACAUGUUAGAAUCGCAUGGUUCUUACAUUAAAGGUGGGGAUCUUCGGACCUACCGCUUUUUGAUGAGCUCGCGUCCUAUCAGCUUGUUGGUAGGGUAACGGCCUACCAAGGCAAUUGACGGGUGGCUGGUCUGAGAGGAUGGUCAGCCACACUGGGACUGAGACACUGCCCAGACUCCUACGGGAGGCUGCAGUCGAGAAUCUUUAGCAAUGGGCGAAAGCCUGACUAUGCGACGCCGCGUGCAGGAUGAAGGUUUUCGGAUUGUAAACUGCUUUUGUCUGGAAAGAAACCUCCAACUAUAACAUAGUUGGAGCUGACGGUACCAGAAGAAUAAGCCACGGCCAACUCCGUGCCAGCAGCCGCGGUAAUACGGAGGUGGCAAGCGUUACUCGGAAUUAUUGGGUGUAAAGGGCAAGUAGGCGGUUUAGUAAGUGAGGGGUGAAAUCUUCCGACUCAAUCGGGAAAUUGCCUUUCAAACUGCUAGACUUGAGAGUAGAA